CGGGAGGAGGCGGUGCCUGCGGGAGCGAAGGGGGAGGGUCAGGGGCUGCAGGCUUCCUCCCGCUGCACUGUCCCUGGCCCGCCGCCUCCCUCUGCAGGUGCGGCGGCUGGUUCGUAUCGCCUACCCACUCACCCUCGCUCCCGUUUCUGCGUCUCUCGAUGUCUUUCUCUCCCCUUUCUCUGAGUUAUUUGUCCCCUCGUCUCUGUCCUCGCCACUCUGGGACUCUGGCCCAUUGUUCUCUGAAUCUGUCCCCCCCCUCCCCUGAGUCUUUGCCGCCUUCGAAGGCUCAGUCUCUCCUCUCCCCCAACUGUGUCUCCUUCCCCUCACCCCCAGUCUCUCCUGAUCUCUGUACCUUUUUUUCAGGAAUUUGCCUCUCUCUGGGUCUCUGUCCCUCCUCGUUGUGUCUCUGUCCUCCAUGCCCGAGCCCCCCGCCAGCCUGUCCCCUCUCUGGAUCUCUGUCCCUCCAGCCCUCUGUCCCUCUUCGUGCCUCUAUCCUCCACUCCCCUCUCCCAGUCUGUACCCUCCACCCCGUCCCUGCUCAUUCAUUUGCGUUUCUGUCCUCCUUGCUCUUGUUCACUGAUAACGUCCCUCCCGGUGUCUUCUUCCCCUCCUCUGUAAAGUGCCUUUUCUCCUUCUGAUCUUUCUCUUUCUCCGUCGCCUUAUGCGGGUCUCUAUCCCUGCUCCCCGUGUCUCUUUCACCCCCUCUGAGUCUUCAUCCCCACUUCCUUGGGACUUUGUCCCGCUGUCCUUUGGUUCCUGACCCCCCCCAUCACCCCCUUUAACCCCCAUCCUGGCCAGGACUCGAGGCUGCGUCACUGCGGAGAGAGUUGCAGAAGUGGGGCCUGUCCUGCAGACCAGGGAGGUAGUUUCCCUCACUCCCCAGACCCUGGGCUCCCCCACUGCCCGCAAUUCACUAUCCUUAAUCCAGUAUCCUUGGGCAGCCCUCAAGCCCCCAGUGGGACCCAGGAAGGCAGAGAAAAGACAUCGGAGCUUCUUACUCCUCUCUGCCCUGAAUUCUGGUGUAUCCCCAAGCAGAAGCAGUGAAUCUUGAGCAGCCAGGCACGGGAUCAAGUUACCAAAUCAGCAUUUUUUUGCAGAGGUCAGAAGGUGUGGGAGAAGGUGUGAGGGAGGGGAGGGGGCUGCCACAGGGGAGAAUAUGGGAUAAAACUCCAGAUUAGAGACCAUGUGAGCAAGGAGGAAGACCCCGGGCAAGGAAUAACAGAAUAGUCCAGACUCCAUCAGGCCCUGGGAAAACUGAAUGCCAUCCCUCCUUCAUGGCCCUCCCCAGACCCUACCAGGAUAUGUGGGGGUUUUGUGAGCCUUGAUUCUGUACCCAUGGGGUAGGCUUCUGGAGGCAUAAUGUGGGCUCCGGUUAUGGGGUACCCAGCCCUGCCAACAGGCUAGAGGGAAGUGGACUCAAUUUUUGGCGAUAGACACCAGUAGGGUGUAAGCCAAUGUCUGUCCUCGUCUUCAGACCUUUCCCACCCUUCCUCCUUCCCAAUCUAUCCUUUCUCUGGUCCUCCAGGAGCAAAAUUACUGAAAAUUCCAAACUCCUACAUCCGUCAUCCGCGGCGCCCUCUCCUAACCCUCCUCCCCCAUUCUCCAAGGCGCUGGAAUUGGGAAAGGGUCUUCCGCUUCGCGAUUUCUAGGACCCCAGCCUUGUGCGUCCGCUCCCAUUCCCAUCAGAUUCCCCAAAUCUAGGAAAGAGUCUCCCGAACACUAAAGCUGGAAAUAUGGAGACUCUCUACCUAGGAUCCAUGUUCCCCUAGACCCCUCUAAGAACCUUGGCCCCCAAAGCUCGUUAUUAAGAAAGAAUCUCUCCGCUGAGAUUUUUGAGUCCCCAUCUCCCGGGUCUCCCGCCUCCAAAACUGGGAUUUGGGCCGUCUUACCGCCCCCGGACCCUGUGCCUUCUCCCCCUCCCCCGUACUCACCCCAAGUCGAGGCGGGGCGGGGAUGGGGGGAAUCCGGGGCUGGCGUUGGGGGAGGGGUGACCCAGCCCCGGCAGCUCAGGGCAGCAAGAGGCUGUGGAGGGGGGGAAUGACAUCAUCGCCGGAGGAGGGACAGCACAGCUCCCCCCAACCCGGGGGCUUCAAGCCCCGCCUUUAUGGCGGACCCAGGGGUCUCCGAAUCCCAAAGGGAGAGAGAAAGGAGAUGAAGUCUGCGGGAAUCAUAUUCCAUCCCCUUAAAACAAGGGUUGAAAAGCCCUUUACGAUUUAGCCACCACCCCCCACUGCCACCUGUCGCUGCCGUCGCGACCUGUCGCCUCCCACGCAUGUUGUGGCUGCGCCCGCCCCCGGCAACAGGAGAACGCGGCCUGGAAUACAAGGUCCAUGAUGCUCCGCGAUACCGAGCUCCUUUUUCUAUGGGCGGCAUAGGCGAAGGGCUUCAUGGGAUUCGUAGUACAAGACCCUCGCACCGCUGUGAGCCCUGCCCUGGAGAAAAGGAGUGAUACCUUUCUCCUUCCUUCCUCAACUCCAGAUUGUUGAACACUAAUUUAUCUCUCCAAAAAUAGUGUAUUAAAAAAAAAAAAAGGAACCCAGGUAGGGUCAAUGUAAAUAACGGAUUUUUACUGAGUAGCUGGGCCUCGGCUACUACUCGGUGCGCAGGCGCCUAGCCUGGGCGCCAGCCGGAGAACUGCGCCUGCGCGGACCCACCCCCUUGUGGUCCGGCUCGUAGAGGGCUGGCGCGCGCCAAACCCACUCGGGCACCGCCUGUUAGGUUUCCGCGGUCGAAGACUGCAACGUGGGCCCCCAAGAAGACAUCGCCGAGAAUCCAGAGGGGCCCUGUGGGCGGAGGUAUGUCCAGGGCCUGGAAGCCAGACAAGCAGAGGCGGACACCACCCCGAGCAAUCUGCAAGGCGACAAGACAGGCCGCUCAGUGCGUGUCACGCGCACGGAACCUCCUCUUCCCUGGGAGCCAGAGCUUUGCCCUGCCCACUAUUCCGGGCACCAGAAGUGUUUCUGGGGCCUCUGCUCCGGCCUCGUGACGUCUCAUUCCCAGCUCCAUCCUCUCAAAUCCCAUCUUAUUGUAUCACUCUGACUUGUGACGGCCACCUACCUGGAUGACAUAGUCCUGGGCCGUGAGGUUAAACCAGACCCCCCCAAGGAGGAAGGAGAUUGGAGGGAGCGUUGGGAUUUCUGAGCACUGGAUGAGGUACUGAAGAAGAAGAGGAACAAGUGGAAUUAGGUACUCAGGGCCUUGUAUGGUCAAGCUCUGCUGCCUUCUCUGGCCUUACUGGCUCUUCUGCCCUCAUGUAAUUAUUGCUACUUCCUUUAGGCGCCCUUUUGAUCAAACCUUUUACUCCAUCCACCUGUAGAUCAAAAACUGCUAGCCCAAUGAGGCGCAUUGAGCCCAUGGUGUAUCUAAGUUGUCUUACACUGUGUCAAAAAUGUGUUGAAAAUUAUUUACCAACUGUACACCACGGUGGUACAGACUCCAAGUGAUAUCCUUGGAGUCUGCUGCUGUGCAACCUUAGACGAAUUGCUGAACCUCUCUGUGCCCCGUUUCCAAUUUGUAGGUGUAGUUGAUGGUAAUACUUCACAGAGGUGUUGUGUAAGAAAUAAAUGAGUUUGGAAAACUGCCCGA